GGCUCUUCUGGGAUGUGGGAAUUUUGGAGUCAAACUCUCUGAAACUGAAGAUCCUAGCCAGAUUUCUUGCUUCCUGGAUGAAGGGAAAUCAUGCACAAUCAGCAAGAGACUGAAAAAUCCUGCCUGAUAAGCUUGCUUUUCUGCUUUAAAAAUACAAUGGAAAGCUACCAUGCGUACACAAAAGCUCAUUAAAUUAAAUGCUGGGGAUUAUCUCUGAAGAAUUUGAAACCAUUUCUACAAGCACAUAUUGGCCUUGUUUGUUCAUCUGGUUAAGCACAGACUUUCAUUCCUCCUGCAGAAGAUGAGGAAGAAGACAUAGAGGAAAAAAGCAUCCAUGGAAGAGUCCUUACCAUGUCACCAAACUGGUAGCUAUCAUUACAUGACAGUAGAAUUUGCAGGAGAAAUGGGGAUGCUGUAAUUAGCUGGCAGUCAAUUUACUGCUAGUCCAGCUCAUUGCCAGUUCAUUGCCAGUCCAGGUAAUCCACUUUCAGCCAGUGCCCUCACUAUUUUUACCUUCUUCCACUCCAGUCCCUUGCCUUUGGAGUUUCUCUUGCAAUUCCGCUCCCUUCCUUGUCUUUCCAUGUAACUAAUCCCUUCCUAAUUAAACCCUAUCCCAAGAACAAAACUCCCAGAUCCAUUAA
rnacentral:lncRNA from 1 species